rnacentral:tRNA from 1 species
GGGGGCGUAGUAUAAUUCGGUAGAAUAGGCGGCUCCAGACCGCUUGGUGCAGGUUCAAAUCCUGCCGUCCCCACCA